AGAUUUAUUAAUUAGGAAAAAGAAAUGAGAGAGUUAUUUACAGGUUAAAGCAGACAACAUAAACGCUCAAAUGAGUUGAGUCUGUGGUUCCAAAAGGUGACAGAGAUGUAGUAAUCUGUCAGCACAGAAUGUCUUUUCCGGGCUGAUGUAGGUUCACCCUGGGGAUCUCUGCUUUUUGUUUCUCAGUUCCAGCCCUUGUAAGACUCCAAGUGGUAAAAAGAUGAAAAAUCUUCAUGUCAACUAUUUUUAUUUCCCUCUUCCAGCACUCAAACCAAUGGGACGAGGGCUUCUGCACAUACUUCUCCAGGGGUAGAUGGGGCAAUCAUCAAAGCUAAUGUCCUACA